rnacentral:rRNA from 1 species
UACGUAGGGUGCAAGCGUUGUCCGGAAUUAUUGGGCGUAAAGAGCUCGUAGGCGGUCUGUCGCGUCUGCUGUGAAAACUCAGGGCUUAACCCUGAGCUUGCAGUGGGUACGGGCAGACUAGAGUGCAGUAGGGGAGACUGGAAUUCCUGGCGUAGCGGUGAAAUGCGCAGAUAUCAGGAGGAACACCGGUGGCGAAGGCGGGUCUCUGGGCAACAACUGACGCUGAGGAGCGAAAGCGUGGGGAGCGAACAGG